rnacentral:rRNA from 1 species
UACGUAGGGUGCGAGCGUUGUCCGGAAUUAUUGGGCGUAAAGGGCUCGUAGGCGGUCUGUUGCGUCGGGAGUGAAAACUCAGGGCUUAACCCUGAGCCUGCUUCCGAUACGGGCAGACUAGAGGUAUGCAGGGGAGAACGGAAUUCCUGGUGUAGCGGUGAAAUGCGCAGAUAUCUGGAGGAACACCGGUGGCGAAGGCGGCAUCCUGGACCGGCAUUGACGCUGAGGCGCGAAAGCUAGGGGAGCAAACGGG